rnacentral:lncRNA from 1 species
GGGGCGGAGCGAACGGGCCCCGGUGCGGCGGGCGCAGCCAUGUCCUUCUGCUCCUUCCUGGGGGGAGAGGUGUUUAAGGACCACUUCAAACCGGGCAUCUACGUCUGUGCCAAGUGUGGCCAUGAGCUGUUCUCCAGCCGAUCAAAGUAUGAGCACUCAUCCCCGUGGCCAGCCUUCACCGAGACCAUCCGUGAGGACAGCGUGGCCAAGCGCCUGGAGCGGCCGGGGGCUUUAAAGGUGUCUUGUGGCAAGUGCGGCAAUGGACUUGGCCACGAGUUCCUCAAUGAUGGGCCAAAGAGGGGCCAAUCCCGCUUCUGAAUAUUCAGCAGCUCACUGAAGUUCAUCUCGAAAGGCAAAGCAGACAAGGACCUGAAGGAGAAGUAAACACGCUGCUCUACCUGCACACUGCUCUUGGGCUCAUCCUGCAUUCACACCUUGGGGCCCUGGGGGUACCAAGAGAAACCCCAAAGAAGCUCCUGGUGUGCCCGGGCCGGUUCUUUCUCCGUGCUGCUCUGAUUUGGGGUGCUGGGAGGAGCAUGGGGGGGAAAAUGGGGGUGCUGGAGCUCUGUGCUUUGUGGGUGGGUUGUAUGAGCUGCACCUGAGGGUGUUUCACACGACUUGGGGUGAUGCAAAGGCUACAGCUCUUCAUUGUACCCACCCUUACCCCCUCUGUUCUCCCCAGCAUCCCGGCCUCUGCCUGUAGCAGCUACUACUGUGUCCUUUAGAGCAGCUCAUGUGCCUGAUGUGGCACUGAUGCAACCCAGAGCUGCUGCUGUGGCAUUUCCAGAGAGUAACUCUGGAUUAGCUGAGGUCAAAGUCUGGGUUAAUCUCUGGUGCUAUUCUAGGCUGGGAUCAUGGUAUGAACUGCCCUAUAUAAACCCUCCCAGGGUGCUAGGGCGAGGAUGGGUUUAUGAUCCCACUAGACAGCAGCCAGGUAUUUUAUCCCUCAUCUUGCACACAGUUCUAGAUCUCCCAUGUCCUCUGGGCUCGAUUCUCACUUGGCCUUACACAGAUUUAUCACUGUGCUCUAAACUCCAGUGGUACCAAUGGUUCCUCAGUGCAAGGGAGGGCAGAAUCUGGCUCACGGGCUGCACUUUGCACAACUCAGGCGUUAGGGAUCACAGCUCGGAAGGGCUAUGACACUGAUGGCUCCUUAACUCAGCAUCAUGGCCUUCCCUCCCUGUCCCCCAAACCAAAUCCUCCUCUGUAGUUACACACAAGGAGUUUUGAAGGUGGCAAAACCCUUUGCUGACCCAGGGUCUGGUGGUGCAGCUCCAGUGCAGCACAUGGAUGGUUUGGGGAGGCCUCACUGCUGGUGCUAUUACCGUGCUGCUGUGCUCAGCUUUUCUCUACAUGGGUUUUGCCUCAAUCCCGGCAUUAUGAGGGUACUGAAACAAAGUGCAAUGCACCAGCUCGUUGCCUGGAGCUCACUGCUGGUCUUGUACCUCUUUCUGUACUGAAAAUAAAGCACUGAGUCACUGUGUUGGAGAAA